rnacentral:rRNA from 1 species
CGGUCCUUCGGGACAGUGGCAGACGGGUGAGUAACGCGUGGGAAUCUACCUAGCUCUACGGAAUAGCUUCGGGAAACUGGAAUUAAUACCGUAUACGCCCUCCGGGGGAAAGAUUUAUCGGAGUUAGAUGAGCCCGCGUUAGAUUAGCUAGUUGGUGGGGUAAUGGCCUACCAAGGCGACGAUCUAUAGCUGGUCUGAGAGGAUGAUCAGCCACACUGGGACUGAGACACGGCCCAGACUCCUACGGGAGGCAGCAGUGGGGAAUAUUGGACAAUGGGCGAAAGCCUGAUCCAGCCAUGCCGCGUGUGUGAUGAAGGCCUUAGGGUUGUAAAGCACUUUCAACGGGGAAGAUAAUGACGGUACCCGUAGAAGAAGCCCCGGCUAACUUCGUGCCAGCAGCCGCGGUAAUACGAAGGGGGCUAGCGUUGUUCGGAAUUACUGGGCGUAAAGCGCGCGUAGGCGGAUUGAUCAGUUAGGGGUGAAAUCCCAAGGCUCAACCUUGGAACUGCCUCUAAUACUGUCAGUCUAGAGUUCUAGAGAGGUGAGUGGAAUUCCGAGUGUAGAGGUGAAAUUCGUAGAUAUUCGGAGGAACACCAGUGGCGAAGGCGGCUCACUGGCUAGAUACUGACGCUGAGGUGCGAAAGUGUGGGG